UUCAGAACGUCGUGAGACAGUUCGGUCCCUAUCCUAUGCGGGCGCAGGAUACUUGAGAAGGGUCGCUUCUAGUACGAGAGGACCGAAGUGAACGUACCUCUAGUGUACCAAUUGUCACGCCAGUGGCAUCGUUGGGUAGCUAUGUACGGUUGUGAUAAGCGCUGAAAGCAUCUAAGCACGAAACACGCUUCAAGAUUAGGUAUCCCUCUCCGCCUUUGGCGGAGACUAAAGACUCCUCGGAGAUUACGAGGUUGAUAGGCUGCAGGUAUAAGUCCCGUAAGGGAUUCAGCUGAGCAGUACUAAUAAGUCGUGCGGCUUAACCAUUAAUUUUUAUU
rnacentral:rRNA from 1 species